rnacentral:SRP_RNA from 1 species
GCCGGGCAUGGUGGCGCGUGCCUGUAGUCCCAGCUACUCGGGAGGCUGAGGCUGGAGGAUCUCUUGAGCCCAGGAGUUCUGGGCUGUAAUGCACUAUGCCAAUCGGGUGUCAGCACUAAGUUCGGCAUCAAUAUGGUGACCUCCCAGGAGUGGGGGACCACCAGGUUGCCUAAGGAGGGGUGAACCGGCCCAGGUCGGAAACAGAGCAGGUCAAAACUCCUGUGCUGAUCAGUAGUGGGAUUGCACCUGUGAAUAGCCACUGCACUCCAGCCUGGGUAACAUAGCGAGACCUGGUCUCU